CGAAAUUCCUAAAAAUGACUGGGACAAUGAGAAGUGAUUUUCAUUGAAAAUUUGGCCAAAUGCUGGAAACUCCGUGUAAUCUGACAGUACUCACUUGGAGGCCUUGCCUCCAAGUAGUGAAAAUCUGUUUAGUGCGGACAAUCAGCAGGAAAGACUGGUUAAACAUUAAACACUCGGUGUUUAAUGUUUAACCAGAAUCCUCAACGACUACACGCCAAAGUCUCUAAACGUUCUGUUUAGAGAACAUGAUAUAGUCUGAACUGCAUGGCGACAUGCAG
rnacentral:ncRNA from 1 species